AGUGCAGUGAAUACAUCUUGUCAUGGAGUGGCCUUGUUUGUCAAUUUGUGUUGAGGAUUUUCUAAUUCAGGCUCUUUGCUUAGUGGGAUUUUCAUUCUGUUUCUUCCCCAAUCUGCGUGAUUCGCUCCUCUCUUUUUCAAAACUAUUGUUGUAUGGAAGUUUCUCGACUAAGAUAUUCUUUUCCACUAGUGUGUGUUGUAUCCUUGAUACCAUAAAGUUAGUCCAGAUGCUUAUGUUUUUGGAUGAUCCAACUGAUGAGAUCCCUGAUGGUUAUGGACACCUGAUAAGUAUCCAAACUCAAUUCUAGAUCUUCUUCUUCUUGUAUCCACAUUAAGUAUUCCUCUGCUUGGUGUUCUUGGUACUUAUCUGCUCUGCUUCUGUUUUCUUUUGUUUAUCACGUCACUUGAUUUGGUUUUGGUUGGAGGCAUGCUUGUAGACCACAUGGUGACAGUGAUAGAGGAUUAGAUUUGGAAAUUUCGAAGGUCGGUUUCUGUAAUGCCCUGUGCACCUUGUAUCUUGGCCAUUUUGGUGCUUGCACUGCAAUCUGGAUAAUGCCAGGCUUCGACAAAAAGGGGGUUUUCAAUCUUGUCUAUGGCAUCUCUAGUGAUUUCUUAGGCGUUAUGGGUUUCCUCGACUUUGCACUUAACUGUUCCCUUCUUUCCUUUGCUUGCAGCCAUGAGCAGUGACUUCUUCUUUUCGUGGAGCGAUCAUGUUUGUCUAUUUGAGCUGAGGUUUCUUUAGUUCAUUCUUUUAUGAGUAUCGAGAUUUUCAUUCAGUUCUCUUCCCUAAUGGUCCCUUUUCACUUUGUUGAAACUACUGUUGUAUUGAAGUUUCCCAGCUAGGAUAAUAUUCUCACCAGUGUGUUAUAUUCUGCUGCGAUGAAGUUUUUACUCCAGAUGCUUAUCUUCUUCGAUGAUUCAACCGAUGACGGUAACAAAGCACUUAACUUGUCCCUUCUUUCUGUGCUUGCAGCCAUUGGGUUUUACAGAGCAGUGAAUUACCCUUUUUUGGAGCGGCCUUGUUUGUACAUUUGUGUUGAGGUUUCUUUAGUUCAGUCUUUUAUGAGCAUUGAGAUUUUCAAUUCAGUUUUCUUGGCUAAAUUCUCCUUUUUCUCUUUGUCAAAACUACUGUUGUGUGGAGGUUUAACUGAGAUAAUAUUUUUCACCAGUGUGUUGUAUUCUGCUGCCAUGAGGUUCUUAGUCCAGAUGCUUAUGUUCUUCGAUGAUCCAACUGAUGAGGUCUCUUAUAGUUAUGGACAGCUGAUAAGCACUCGGUCAUUUUCUGAUAGCACUGUAAAGUGCUCCUCCACUUUUGGUCUUCUAGCCUACUUAUCUUCUCUGCUUCCAGUUUCUUUUGGUUAUCACGCGACUUGUUUUAUUUUUGUUGUAUGGAUGUGUAGACCAUAUGGUGACAGUUACAGAGGUUAUGAUUUGGAAAUUUCAGAGGUUGGUAUCCAGUAUGCUUUCCUCUGCACCCUCUUGGUAUUUUUGGUGCUUGCUCUGCAAUCCGGAUAUUGUUAGGUUUCGACAGAAAGGCGGUUUUUCAAUCUUGUCUAUGGCAUCUUUAGUGAUUUCUAGGUGGUUUGGGUUUGGUCAGCUUUGCACUUAACUGUUUCCUUCUUUCUGUGCUUGCAGCCAUGGGUCUCAUAGAGCAGUGAAGUACUCUUUUCAUGGAGCGGGCCUUGUUUGUCCACGUGUGUUGAUGUUUCUUUAGUUCAGUCUUCUAUGAGUAUCAAGAUUUUCAGUUCAGUUUUCUUCCCUAAUCAGAGUGCUUCCCUUCUCUUCUUUGUCAAAACUGUUGAUGUAUGGAAGUUCUCAACUUAUGUAGUUUUUUUCCCACUUAUGUGUGUUGUGUUCUGCUACCAUGUCUUUUUAGGUAUGUAGAUUGUAUAUAUUAAGAAAAGGAGAAAGCUUAGGACCAAGCUGGUGCUAAGACCUUACAGAAAUUUGUGAUCUUUCUAACAAAAACACAUAUUCUGCUGCCAUUUUUAGUUUUUGGUCUAGAUACUUGCUUAUGUUCCUUGAUGACCCUGAUGAGGUCCCUGAUGGUCCAUACUUAUGGACAUUUGGUAAGUACUCAAAAGUCGCUUCUGGAUCUUCGGUAGCCCUGUACAGUGUUCUUCUCUCUUGGUGUUCUUGCUGCUUUUCUUCUGCUUCUGUUCUCUUUUGUGUAUCAUGCCAGCUUGAUUUUUUUGGUGGAUGGAUGUGUGGUGACAGUUAUAGUGGAUUAGAUUUGCAAAGUUCAAAGGUUGGUGUCCAGUGUGUGUUCCUGUGCAGCAUGUUUCUUGGCCAUUUUUGUGCUUGCACUGCGAUUUGGAUAUUAUCAGGGCUUCGAGAAAAGGGAGUUUUUGAUCUUGUGUGGCACCUCCAGUGAUUCCCUAGUUGGUAUGGGUUUCACCUGCUUUGUCCACUGAACUGCAUUCCCUUCUUUUUGUGCUUGCAGCUGUUGGGUCUUACAGAUCUUUUCAUGGAGCGGCGUUGUUUGUCAAUUUGCAUCGAGGUUUCUUUAGUUAAUGCUUUUAAUGAGUAUUGAGAUUUUUGAUUCAGAUUUCAUCCCUGAUCACUGGUUACCUUUUCUCUGUCAAAACUGCUGAUAUGUGAAAGUUCUCAACUAUGAUACUAGUGUAUUUUGUAUUCUGCUGGCGUUUUUAGUUUUUAGUCCAGAUGCUUCCUUGAUGAUUCAACUGAUGAGAUCCCUGGUGGUUAUGGAUACCUGAUAAAUUUUGGAUCUUUUGAUAGUGGCUAUGAAAACUUUGGAUCUUUUGGUACUUCUGGUGUUCCCCUAUUUUCUUCUCCACUUCCGUUUUCUCGUGUAUCACACCACUUGAUUUUCUUUGGUUGGAUAGAUGUUUGUAGAGCACAUGGUGUGUGAUACAUUCGAUUGCAAAUUUCAGAGGUUGGUGCCCGAUGUGCGCCCUUGUGUACCCUGUUUCUUGGCCAUUUUGGUGCUGGCACUGCCAUCUGGAUAUUAUCAGGGCUUCGACAUAAAGGGGGUUUUGAAUCUUGUGUGGCAUCUCUAGUGAUCUCUAGUGAUUUGCUUGGAGGUUUUCUCCUUAAUCAGAGUGGUUCCCUUCUCUCUUUGUCAGAACUGCUGUUUUAUGGAAGAUCUCAACUAAGAUUAUUCUUUUCACAUUUGUGUAUAAUAUAUUUUCUGCCAUUCUUAGCUACUAGUCCAGAUGUUUAUGUUCUUCAAUUAUCCAAGUGUUGAGAUCUCUUACCUGUCUUACAGUAAUGGGCAUCUCAUUAGUAAAACUCAAUUCUGGGUCUUUUUAUAGCGUACAGUGCUCCUCUACCUUUGGUGUUCUUGCUCUUCUUCUCUGCUUGCAUGCUUUUAUAAUCACACAGGCUUGAUUUUGUUUGUUGGAUGGAUGGAUGUGUAUACCACAUAGUGAACGCUAAUGAGGAGUAAAUUUGAGAAUUGCAAAUGAUGUUCCAGUAUUCGUUGCUGUGCGUGCUGUUUCUUGGUCUUUUUGGUGCUUGCAUUGCGAUCUGGGUAUUUUCAGGCUUCAAGAAAAGGGGUUUCUUUUCAAUCUUGUCUCUUGUAUCUGUAGAUUUUCUACCUUGGGUUUCGCCAGCGUUUCACUUGACUGUUCCCUUUCCAUGCUUGCAGCUGUCGGGUCUUAGAGCUGCGAAUUCUACUUCUCAUGGAGCGGCUUGUUUGUCAAUUUGUGUUGAGGUUUCUGUAGUGCAUGCUUCAGUGAGUGAAGAGUCUCAAUUCAGUUGUCGUCAGAGGUCCCCUUCUCUCACCAUACUGAAGUUAUGUGCACUCUAAGUAGUUUCUUUUCUUAGGAAAAGUUGACAUGUCCAUGGAGGCGGGUAUAUGAUCAUUGUUAUUCAAUUUUAGGUUCUCUUAUUGGGUGAUUUAAAUCCAUAACCUAUUGUUUGUAUUUUUAAGGUAUAUUGUAGAUUUCAUUGAUUUAUUGUUUCUAUUUUUAGAUUUCAUCGGUUUUGAUCAAUCAUUUUCUAAAAGCGAAGGGUUUAGACUGCUCAUGAUUUUUGAUCAGUUGACUUGUGGAUUGGGCAUUCAAACUAUUUGUUGUUUUGUAGAAUUUCUUAAUUAAAUCUAGUGUUCUUGUCAAAGUUCCUUUUGCUGCCAUUUUUAUUGAUCUUUCGAUGGUUCAGCGACGGAGGCUGGGACAGUUCUGGGUGCGUGAUUAAAUAUUGAAUUAUGCAUCUUUGCUAGCAGUGUGUAGAGCACUUGCCUGCAUUUGGUGUUCUCGCUAAUGUCUUGGGUAGUCGUGUAAAGUGAUCCUCUACAUUUGGUGGUCAUGCAUUUAUCUUUUCUUGUCUGUUUUCUUUUGUAUAUCACACUAGCUUGUUUUUGUUUGUCGAAUAUCUGGUUGGCCACAUGGCGACCAUAAUAAAGAAUUAGAUUUCCAAAGGGCAAUAUCCAGAUGCGCUCCUGCGGAAGACCUCUGUCCUUAUCCAUUCGACAAUGGACGCUUUCCAUUUUGAUUCUUUCUUCGUACUUUUAACUUUUUUGUUUGAAAAAAAAAACAGAAAGAAUUGUAGGGUUCUUUCUAACAAAUUCAAGACAAAGAAACUUUUUAGUACUCAUACUCUAGUGUGGGUUGUGUCGGUUUUUGAGGAAAAUGGAGUUUUGCAUCU